rnacentral:rRNA from 1 species
AGCGGCGGAUGGGUGAGUAACACGUGGGGAACCUGCCCCUAAGUCUGGGAUACCAUUUGGAAACAGGUGCUAAUACCGGAUAAUAAAGCAGAUCGCAUGAUCAGCUUUUGAAAGGCGGCGUAAGCUGUCGCUAAGGGAUGGCCCCGCGGUGCAUUAGCUAGUUGGUAAGGUAACGGCUUACCAAGGCGACGAUGCAUAGCCGAGUUGAGAGACUGAUCGGCCACAUUGGGACUGAGACACGGCCCAAACUCCUACGGGAGGCAGCAGUAGGGAAUCUUCCACAAUGGACGCAAGUCUGAUGGAGCAACGCCGCGUGAGUGAAGAAGGUUUUCGGAUCGUAAAGCUCUGUUGUUGGUGAAGAAGGAUAGAGGUAGUAACUGGCCUUUAUUUGACGGUAAUCAACCAGAAAGUCACGGCUAACUACGUGCCAGCAGCCGCGGUAAUACGUAGGUGGCAAGCGUUGUCCGGAUUUAUUGGGCGUAAAGCGAGUGCAGGCGGAAAAAUAAGUCUAAUGUGAAAGCCCUCGGCUUAACCGAGGAACUGCAUCGGAAACUGUUUUUCCUGAGUGCAGAAGAGGAGAGUGGAACUCCAUGUGUAGCGGUGGAAUGCGUAGAUAUAUGGAAGAACACCAGUGGCGAAGGCGGCUCUCUGGUCUGCAACUGACGCUGAGGCUCGAAAGCAUGGGUAGCGAACAGGAUUAGAUACCCUGGUAGUCCAUGCCGUAAACGAUGAGUGCUAAGUGU